GUGAGUCAUCGAAUCUUUGAACGCACAUUGCGCCCGCCAGUAUUCUGGCGGGCAUGCCUGUCCGAGCGUCAUUUCAACCCUCAAGCCCCCGGGCUUGGUGUUGGAGAUCGGCGAGCCCCCCGGGGCGCGCCGUCUCCCAAAUAUAGUGGCGGUCCCGCUGUAGCUUCCUCUGCGUAGUAGCACACCUCGCACUGGGAAACAGCGUGGCCACGCCGUAAAACCCCCCACUUCUGAAAGGUUGACCUCGGAUCAGGUAGGAAUACCCGCUGAACUUAAGCAUAUCAAUAAGCGGAGGA
rnacentral:misc_RNA from 1 species